rnacentral:rRNA from 1 species
AGUCGUAACAAGGUUUCCGUAGGUGAACCUGCGGAAGGAUCAUUACCUAGAGUUGUAGGCUUUGCCUGCUAUCUCUUACCCACGUCUUUUGAGUACCUUCGUUUCCUCGGCGGGUCCGCCCGCCGAUUGGACAAUUUAAACCAUUUGCAGUUGCAAUCAGCGUCUGAAAAAACUUAAUAGUUACAACUUUCAACAACGGAUCUCUUGGUUCUGGCAUCGAUGAAGAACGCAGCGAAAUGCGAUAAGUAGUGUGAAUUGCAGAAUUCAGUGAAUCAUCGAAUCUUUGAACGCACAUUGCGCCCCUUGGUAUUCCAUGGGGCAUGCCUGUUCGAGCGUCAUUUGUACCUUCAAGCUCUGCUUGGUGUUGGGUGUUUGUCUCGCCUCUGCGCGCAGACUCGCCUCAAAACAAUUGGCAGCCGGCGUAUUGAUUUCGGAGCGCAGUACAUCUCGCGCUUUGCACUCACGACGACGGCGUCCAAAAGUACAUUUUAACACGCUUGACCUCGGAUCAGGUAGGGAUACCCGCUGAACUUA